UUGGAGGGCAAGUCUGGUGCCAGCAGCCGCGGUAAUUCCAGCUCCAAUAGCGUAUAUUAAAGUUGUUGCAGUUAAAAAGCUCGUAGUUGAAUUUCGGGAUCAAUUUAUUGGUCGUGCUAUUGUACGUACUGGUAUUAUUGAUUCCUACCUUCUGACGAACCAUGAUGUCAUUAAUUUGGUGUCAUGGGGAAUCAGGACUGUUACUUUGAAAAAAUUAGAGUGUUUAAAGCAGGCUCACGCUUGAAUACAUUAGCAUGGAAUAACGAAAUAGGACGUUUGAUUCUAUUUUGUUGGUUUCUAGGAUCGACGUAAUGAUUAAUAGGGAUAGUUGGGGGCAUAGUAUUCAAUUGUCAGAGGUGAAAUUCUUGGAUUUAUUGAAGACUAACUACUGCGAAAGCAUUUGCCAAGGAUGUUUUCAUUAAUCAAGAACGAAAGUUAGGGGAUCGAAGACGAUCAGAUACCGUCGUAGUCUUAACCAUAAACUAUGCCGACUAGGGAUCGGAUGAUGUUAAUUUUUUAAUGACUCAUUCGGCGCCUUACGGGAAAC
rnacentral:rRNA from 1 species